rnacentral:rRNA from 1 species
UACGUAGGGUGCAAGCGUUAAUCGGAAUUACUGGGCGUAAAGCGUGCGCAGGCGGUUUCGUAAGUCUGUCGUGAAAGCCCCGGGCUUAACCUGGGAAUUGCAUUGGAAACUAGCGGGCUGGAGUGUGGCAGAGGGGGGUGGAAUUCCACGUGUAGCAGUGAAAUGCGUAGAGAUGUGGAGGAACACCGAUGGCGAAGGCAGCCCCCUGGGCUAACACUGACGCUCAUGCACGAAAGCGUGGGGAGCAAACAGG